UAUAUUUAAGUGUAAGAAGCACAGGGGUUUUUGAUGCUCAAGGGGUUAGUUUGAUUCUAACUAAUAUAA
rnacentral:tRNA from 1 species